GGGAAAUGGGGAAAAGCAGCUUUGUGGGGGGGCUGCUGGCUGUAGGGUGUGUGAGUUGCUGUGCUGGUGAGGUAAAGCUGCAAGGUGGCUGUGCAAUAGUUUGUCAGGUGUUUAAAGCUGUUCUGCUGCUGAGGGCAUCUGCUCAGCUGGAGUCCUGUAAAAUUGCUUCUUGUCUGUCGUGCUGGGGGAACAUUUGCAUGUUCCUGACUUCUUUAAGUUGCCUUUCAGUGAUGAAUGUGAACCCUUGCUGCCAUCACAGUGCCAGGCACUGCACCAGAGAGGGAAAUCAGGAGCAGGAAAACAAAAGCCUGCUUUUCUCCUUCACCUGAGAUCAUGGGUGGUAAUGUAACCCAAACUCUGAAGCAGGGUCAGCAGCUUUGAGGGCAGGGACUUAUUUUUCAGAGUGGGAUUUUGAUCUUGGAAAUGUGGUACUGCCUGCAAGCUGAGGGAGGAGCAGGAGCAACUUCUCUGCAUUCAGGGAUCCUCCUGUGCUGCAGUUUACCUGCCCACAAACCAACUCCUCUGGGGAAAGGUGGUUGUGCUGGUGGGGGGAGGAUGAAAACCUCCUGCCCUUGCAGCAGCUGGGAUCAGGCUUCCUGAGCUCUGCUGGCUGUGAUCAUCCCUGCUCCAGUGUGCAGGAAGGAGCUCUUGGGAUGGGCUUUUGGAAAAGCAGAAGGAAACUUCAGAUGAGCUUUUCUUCUGAAUAAACAGUGCAGAAGACAAAAGCAGUUAGUCAGAUUUUGGCACCUCUUUCCAAAAGAAAAGUGUUGGUUUGUGGGUUUUUCCUUUCCCCCGUUUCACUGACCUUAUUGGGGGUUUUGCAAUGAAUGUAGAAUGCAGCUCCUGCAAGUUUUGCUUCCCACGUUGCUCUCUUGGGCUUUGCAGGUGCUUCAGGUAUGUCAAGGCUGAUGUAAAUGAAACCUCUUGACACUGAGACAGCUUUUCUGUCAACAUUCUGAUUUCCUGCAUCUGCCACGUGGGGAAAAAAGAAAAAAAAAGCCUGUCUGCAGGGUCCUGUCCUGAACACCAUGUGGUGUUGCAUGUGUCUGUGCUGCCCUGUGGCACUCUGCAUCUUGUCACAUGAAGUGCCUGCAGUUGUGUUUACUGGUUGGUCAUUUUUGCCACUGUACUGCCACCUGGAGAGCACAAAUCAAAAGCAAAUUGCUGGAGGGAAGAGGGAGGGAGAAAAGCACAGUCACAGAAACUCAAACCCAGUCAGCCCUCUAUUUCUUUCUGCCUCUUUUUGAGACAAAUCCUGGUUCCUGGGAGCCAGCCUCUAACUGGGUAUGACCUGUCCCUCACCCACCUGCUACACCAGAGUGAUGCAGGAGCAUUGCUGUGGCCUGAUAAAUAGUUUUGAUGCCAUCCUGGGUUUUAUUCCCCUCUCCAUCAGUGCUGCAUGCAAUUUUUGUCUUUUUCUUUGGCUGUUUUGUGGUGGUGGUGUUUGUUUCCUUCUGUUUUUCUUAAGGCUUUGAGUAGCAGUGGUAUCACCAUAGAUCAAGCACUGGAUCUGGAACAGUUCCAUAGUUCCACCACACCUCUUCUUGCUGGAAACAAAGGAUUUUCCCUAAUGGAGGUGUGCAGGGUUUGAUUUUUCCCUGAUGGAGCUGUGCAGGGUUUAUCCUGAUGGAGCUGUGCAGGAUUUAUCCUGAUGGAGCUGUGCAGGAUUCAUCCUGAUGGAGCUGUGCAGGGUUUAUCCUGAUGGAGCUGUGCAGGGUUUAUCCUGAUGGAGCUGUGCAGGGUUUAUCCUGAUGGAGCUGUGCAGGGUUUAUCCUGAUGGAGCUGUGCAGGGUUUAUCCUGAGGGAGCUGUGCAGCCUGGCUCUGGCCACCCCAGCCCUGAAGUGACCCUGGGUGAGGAGCACCUCUGUCUGGGGCUCAGCAGGGCAGAGCUUUUCCCAGUUUAACCAGUAAGCAAGGUGCAGGAGGGGGGAUUGCUGGCCAGGAAGCUGUGGGAGCUGAGGUGCUGUGACAUCUCUGGGGACCACACCAGCACGGGGGCUCUGAGCAUCCCUUGGCCACCACACCAGGGCUGCAGACUGUUUAAAAUACUCCUUGUAGACAGAAAUACCAGUGCCCUUUUUCUUUUUUUUUUUUUUUUGUUUUUCCUGACUAAAGGGUUUCAAUCUUUCUCUGGAAUGUUGAAUGUAUGUUGUGAAAAGGCCUUUCCUGGAGAAGGGUGAGCAGGGCUGUGACAGACCUAAAGGAAUGUUCCACUAAAGAUUGUCAAACACCCACAGAGCCUGGGGGCUCUGGCUUUGCUGCAGCUCAGCCCAACUGCGUGGGAAACGACUUUUAACACCCUUGUUUCUAUUUUUAAAAGGAAUUAUUAUUAUUAUUAUUAUUAGAUCUGUGUUCCCUUUGUAAAUGGAAGAGAAUAUAAAUCUUUUUAUUAAAAAAAAAAAAAAAA